AAGGUGGAGAAAUGAGGAUUGAAGAACCGGUCGAAGGGUUUCAAUUAGGCAACCCAGCAACUGAAUUUUCACAACUAGCCAGAUAAUGAUGAUGAUACCCUAUAAUCGGUAGGAUAUUCAUUUUUCUUCGGCAUCUUUUGAAGAAU
ensembl:ncRNA C02B4.12 ncRNA